UGGACUUUGCAGUUCCCUUCGCUUAACACUUAUCAUUCUUUUGGAUCAUUCAGAUCCUGGGAAAUACGUGGAUAGGCAUUAUUACCUUUCUUCUUUACAGGGAGAAAUGCUAAGGUCUAGAUCAAAGUAAUUGGAGUGGUUAAAUAGCAGAAGUUGCAGUGGAGCCAGCUUUUUGACUCUUGAAUUACGUAAACCACACUUUGCUGAUAGGGAGCCUGUAGCCUUUUCCAUGCAUUACAUGUAGUCAUGGCUCUGAGCUGUGUUUGCCCUAGGGGCUUGUGUGCAUAUCACUUGAUCAUGAAGACUCAUCUACGGGGUAUUUGAAUUAACACAUAGAAAAGAGAGCAGAAAGGCAAGGCAUUUCCCUGUUAAAGAUGUGAACCGUGCUGAGGUCUCAGAAUGACUAAUUUCCUUGACUGAGCUCUUACAUAGAGUCCCAAGCCAUUUUGAGGUUUUUCAACACACAAAGAUACUGACACAUGCCAAUUUUAUGAGAUGUUGUCUAUGAAAUCUUUUAUCCACUAAGUUUUUCUGUCCUGGAUGCAUAUAUAUUUUGAGAAAUUUUAAUGGAAUUUAAUAAUGGUUUACUUAAUUCCCAGGGAAACAAGAUCCUUCCAGGUUUCUCAUUAUAGUAAACAUCUGGGGGGGUCUUUCUUUUUUCAUUGGUGCACUUCCUCUGGUACUAUUAAACUGAUGGGAAUUAUGCAUGUGCAUUGACAGGUGCAUAUACUUAAGAUUUCUCAGUCUAGGUGUGUCUUGGAUAAGAUACAGCAAUUAUUAUUAUCCAUGAAUGCCAGGAUGCACAAAAAUACCCUGAGAAGUAAAUAUUUAAUAUUUCACACUCAUUGCCUUUUUUAAAAGUUUUUAAUUUACUGUGAGCAUAACAAGCAAAUUGAACAUUUUCUCUUUCUGCAGUCUUAAAAUUAAACUCUUUUACUUUUGAAUAACAUCUGGUUGGCAAACACAUACCAUCUUAUUUUCUUACGUUGAGUAUGGGGCAUUCCAGCAUAUCUGCAAAGUAGUCAACAUAUAGAUACAGCCUCAAGAAUAUUGAUGAGGAAGAGCCAGAUACACAUACAUAAAUGUGGCAGUUGAGGCUUGCAUUGCACAGGGGUUGCAAGAGACAGAGGGGCCUGCAAUUGAUCACUUGUUACUUACCAGUGACUUCAUAUACCAUCAUG